GCCCACCCGAAUAUAAGCCCACUUAUAUUGACACUAUUAAUCACUAUUACUACUAUGAUUAACACUUGUUUAUCACUAUUACACCAACACAAAAGAUCGUCCAUGUAUAAGCCCCCCCCCCCCGUAUGUAAGCCGCCUUUUGUAUAUAAGCCCAUCAAAAAUCGCUUACGAAAGAAUAUAAGCCCAGGGCUUAUAGUUGGAGGUUUACGGUAGAAAUGACUGUUGCCAAAGCCAACAAAACGCUAGGAUUAAUAAAAGGACAUUGCAAGGAAUUAACUGAUCUACAAAUACACGGCGACACCAGGAAACAUUGAACAAAAACAUAGAACAAAAGCAAUACAAAAUAAUUCAGAAUAUGAUAAAAUUAUAUCCCUUUUGGGACAACUUUGAGGGGUUCAAUAAACGAGAUUAAUUGAAUAUACAAUAAAACCCCGCCAUACAGGAACCUAGAUUUUCCAACAUUGUUUCCUAGCAAUGUUUCACCAUGUUUCCCAGAGUGGGCAAACACUAGGAAACAUUAGUGAGGAACAUAGGGAAACAUCAAAUGUUUCUGAAUUUCGUGGGAAACAUUUUUGCUUCCCGGGAAGCAAAUCUUGUUUCCGCAACAAUGUUUCCACGGGUGGGCAAACAUGGAAACAUUUGAGGAAACAUCGAGAAUCAGAAAUGUUUCCGCAACAAUGUUUCCUAGUUUGCCCAGGGCUUUUCGUUAGAGAAAAGCGACUCAUUUUAG